GCGCAGGCGCCCCGCCCCGCCCGGACAUUCCUGCAAGCGGCCCAACCAGCUGGACGAGGUCCACUCCCCGCGGCUCCCGGCGGCAGCAGGUGGCCCCGGACUUUCCGCUGUCACCGCGGUCCGCGCGCCCCUUUGCGCCCCGGAGCCCUCUGCGCUACCCUCACAGGGCGGGAUGGAGGCGGACGGGGACCGGGAGGAGCUGGCCCACCUGCGCUCGCUCUUCGCUGCCUGCGACGCGAACCGCUCGGGGCGCCUGGAGCGCGAGGAGUUCGGCGCGCUGUGCGCGGAGCUGCGUGUGCGGCCGGCCGACGCCGAGGCCGUGUUCCAGCGGCUAGACGCUGACCGCGACGGCGCCAUCACCUUCCAGGAGUUCGCGCGCGGCUUCCGUGGGUCCUGCCGCGGGGGGCGGCACCGAGGCUGGGCUCCCUGGGAGCCCGCGUCCGCCUCAGCCCAGGUGGGACCCGACCCCGAGGACAGCCAAGAGGAUGAGGGCGACGGGGACACGUUGGCAGCCCCCUGGGGUCGGGCGAGCGCCGGCCAGGCUUGGCAGGACUUCCAGGCGCGACUUGGAGACGAGGCCAAAUUCAUCCCCAGAAAAGAGCAAGUUAGUACCUUGUAUCUAAACAUCAACCUUGUGGAGCCAAGACUAAUUCAGUCGUACGAGCAUGUUAUAAGGAACUUUAUCCGUGAGAUCAAACUGCAGAGCACAGAAAUGGAAAACCUGGCCAUUGCAGUGAAGAGAGCCCAGGACAAGGCAGCCAUGCAGCUGAGUGAGUUGGAAGAGGAAAUGGAUCAGAGGAUUCAGGCAGCAGAACACAAGACGCGUAAAGAUGAAAAACGUAAGGCUGAGGAAGCCCUCAGUGACCUCAGACGUCAGUAUGAAACAGAAGUAGGAGAUCUACAGGUGACAAUAAAGAAACUUAAAAAGCUAGAAGAACAAUCAAAACACCUAAGUCAAAAAGAAGAUGUGGCUGCCUUAAAAAAGCAAAUUUAUGAUUUAUCAAUGGAAAAUCAGAAAGUUAAGAAAGAUCUUUUAGAAGCACAGACAAACAUAGCCUUCCUCCAGAGUGAAUUAGAUGCUUUGAAAAGUGAUUAUGCCGAUCAGACUCUGAAUUCAGAAAGGGAUCUGGAAAUAAUCCGAGAGUACACAGAAGAUCGAAAUAGUCUUGAGAGGCAAAUUGAAAUACUCCAAACAGCUAACCGGAAGUUACAUGACAGUAAUGACGGCCUUAGGAGUGCCCUUGAAAACAGUUACAGCAAGUUCAACAGAUCUUUGCGCAUAAGUAAUAUAUCACCAGGGAAUACAAUUUCUAGGAGCAGUCCCAAAUUUAAUGGUCAUUCUCCUCAUCCUCUGGGCUUUGACAGGUCAUCCCGCUCCUCCUACAUGGAUGAGGACUGUGACUCAUUGGCCCUCUGUGACCCUAUGCAGAGGAUGAAUUGUGAGGUGGACAGCCUUCCCGAGAGUUGCUUUGACAGCGGCUUGUCUACCCUGAGAGACUCCAAUGAAUAUGACUCGGAGGUGGAAUACAGGCACCAGAGGGCACUUCAGAGGUCACACGGCACGCAGGAGAGCUUUGGGGGUGAUGCUUCAGACGUAGAUGUUCCUGAUAUAAGGGAUGAAGAGACGUUUGGUGCCGAAGGUAUGGCUGCCAUCUUAGACUGGAAACCCCAGGGGUCCACUAGUGAGGGCAGCGUCGUCAGUUCUUCAAGAAAGCCCAUCUCAGCUCUGUCACCACAGACAGACAUGGUGGAUGGCGACCAUAAAUCUUCCAGCUCACAGAAGGCUUACAAGAUUGUACUUGCUGGGGAUGCUGCAGUGGGGAAGUCUAGUUUCCUCAUGAGGCUCUGCAAGAAUGAAUUUCGAGGAAAUACAAGUGCCACCCUGGGAGUCGAUUUUCAGAUGAAAACUCUCCUUGUGGACGGAGAGCGCACAGUGCUGCAGCUCUGGGAUACGGCUGGUCAGGAGAGGUUCAGAAGUAUCGCCAAGUCUUACUUCAGAAGAGCAGAUGGCGUUCUGCUGUUGUAUGAUGUUACGUGUGAGAAAAGCUUUCUCAAUGUUCGAGAAUGGGUGGACAUGAUUGAGGAUGCAACCCAGGAGAGUGUUCCUAUCAUGUUGGUAGGAAACAAGGCUGACCUCCAUGAUGCUGCUGCAGCAGAGGAACAGAAGUGUGUCCCAGGAUACUUGGGAGAAAAACUGGCCAUGACCUAUGGGGCAUUAUUCUGUGAAACCAGUGCCAAAGAUGGCUCAAAUAUAGUGGAAGCUGUUCUCCAUCUUGCUCGGAACCAGAUUUUAAACACAAGAGACUAUUAUGAAAUUAACUACCUAUUAUGACAUUUUCUGGGAUAAAGGAGAAAAAAAGCAACUCAACAAAGCAAAUUGUGUGUCAUGCCAGUUGGAAGCACUUUAUUAAAAUAAUUACUCAGGGAAGUGAAAAAAAGGACCGAUGAAGAUGACAGCAAAUCCAUUACCAAUCUGACUGGGACCAGUUCCAGAAAGUCAACGCAGAUGAAGAACUGUUGCAGUAGUUAAAUCCCAAACAUCCUUGGCCUGUCAGGUCAGGCCCAGAGUCCUGGGUGUCUGUGACAUGUUUGCUUCUCACAGAGGCAUGUGUCCUCCAGACACGGCCAGGUGGAAGCUAACAGUGUGGGCCUUGGAACUGUGCUGUUAGAUCCUUCUGGAGGCCUGGCUCUUUGCUAUGUUUCAGUGAAUGAUUUGGGCCCCAUGGUUGAAGGUACUUGUCUUGUCCUCACAGAGUCGCAAAAGAGAACAUGUAAAAAAAUGGUUAAAAAAAUCAGAUGCUCAGAUCAAAGCUGUAGAAGAAACUUCCUGAUGUAGAUCCACGUGGUAGCUGACUUUGUAGAUAACCUAAAACAACAUUUUUUUUUCAAGUAUCUGUUACUAGAAUACUGGUAAAAGGGGAUUAUCAUCCUAGCUUUGCUGUCUGUGGUCUCAGAUGUGUCAGCAGCCCACAAUAAACCUGUUUCCUCACCUGCAAAAUAAGCAGCUUGGCUUUGCAGGCCUUGGCCUCUCGGAUUCUGUGCACUGUAAGGAGUGGGAAGGAGACCACGAUGACUCACAGUUAAUAAGGACUCUGGUUAGUCAGACUUUUUAAAUAUUGGGGCAUUGAUUUUUCUCAUUUCUGAAACAACAGAAUUUAAUUGAGAAAAAAUAAUGUUGUAGGCUUCAGUGGAGACAGAAAAAUCUAUUUUUAUAUACAGAGGAAAAAACGUUUGUGUGACAAAAAGAAAAAAAAUAAAAAACAAGGUACUGACAUCUCCACAAAGUCUGCGGUUUAAGUUUCAUGUUAAAAAUUCUAAUGAAAAUCAUAGGAGGCCACAUACUGGUAAAAGUACAAUGCCCAGGAAAGCUGUCACUCUUCACUUAAAAAUAUAUCCCAGCCAGUCAUGGCCAUGGCUAGGGAAAGACAGGAGCUGGAGUGACCGCUAAUGGGGAUGUGGUUUAUUUGGAGAAUGAGAAUGUUCUGGAAUAUAUACUUUUAUAAUGGCUGCUAACUUGGUAAAUACAUGAAAUAACACUGAAUUGUUAAAAGGGGGAAGUUUAUGAGACGUGAAUUAUAUCUCAUUAAAAAAAAAAACAACACACUACCACUUUUAACAUUUUGCCUAAGGAAAAUGUGCAUGAUUGUUUCAGACCUUCCCAUGAUUUACAAGCAUAAUCUCCAAUAUGAUACAAAUCUCUGAACUCUGUCAUGGCCAGCAUUUACUACCUGAAAUAAUGAACAGUGAAAAAAAUGUUAUGUAUAGUUUUGGAAACUCAUCUCUUCACAAGAGGAAAUCACAGUCCUUUGUUUAAUGUGACUAGUGACUCCUUCUCACCAACAAUUUGGUGGGUCUUGCUCUCCUUCUAGAAUCUGCAGUGCCUCCCAGAUUUCCCCACUGAAAGGUCUCUAACAGCUGAAGGAAUCAACACCUGACCCUAGAAAAGCCUGGUUUUUGGUUUUUGGCUUUUGUUUCUCAGUGGCCUUGAACCAAUUAAGUUAUCCCCAACUAGAGGCUUGAACUUACCUUGGUUCAUAUAGUUCCAGCUUCCAAGUGGUCUUCUGGAAAUACCUUAAAAACUUAUUUAUUGUAUUACAUAAGCUAAUAACAUUCCUUUUUGUUGAAUCAAAACAAUUCCAUGGAGCAGUUUUUCCCGUUUAUGAUUUUUAUGAUCAAAUCUUUAAUUCCCCAGCUUCAUUUUCUUUUAAGUGAAAACUGACCAGAUAUGUUAUACACCAAGAUUAUAAAGAGCCACAACAUCCUCAAGUGCAAAUGCUUGCCUUCUCUCUAUUGACAUCUGGGUAUUUUGAUCGCAGUUUGUUCUAUCCCUGGCAACUCUACCAUGCAUUUCUGUUCAAUGGCUUAGGUCGCACCAAGUUUACAUUUUUGACCAGAAAGAGCACCUCGCUGGUCGAAUAGUGUCAAACUGAGCGGUGGGGGAGGUGUUAUUUCUGUGCCUUCGUGAGAUGCACGUUUUGCCACUGCUGGUUGCCUCUGCGGCAUCUUUGGAACCUGGGUUAGAAAGGUUCUGUGUGUUGACAUAUGGGACAGUUGUUCAGGUGUUUGGUGCAGUUGCACAAAACUCUGUGAGUAUAGUUGUUACUGUGUUGCCUUUAUUUCCCCCCAGGGUGUCUCUCUGUAUUUGUCUGACGGUUUGUACUUAGAAUGUAUCUUUGAUACAGAAGUAUUGCCUUGGCUUUUGUGUCUGGCUUGUAUGGCUAGUACACCCAAAUUGACUUGGGAUGGAGAUUAUAUAGGUGCCUUUGAUAGACAAAGCACUCAUCUUUAGUCAAACCUGGAUAAAUAUUUUGGCAGCAAAAUCCAAAUCAGAGACAUAGAGCUCUGGUGAGCAAUCUUCUUUAAAGAAAAGCUACUUAGAAGCUCUAUCAGCUGCAUUUGUGGUAAAUCAUCAUUAUCACCAACAUUUCAUUUCAGGAAGGUGUUUUCAAAGUGUAUUUCUGAUUAAAAUAUAAUGUUUUUAGCCUAGAAUUAAUGUGGGACAUUCAUAUAGUCUUGUGCAACUAAUUUAUCUUGACUCAGUUUUUCCUUUGAGGGCUUUUAAAAUCACUAUUAUACACUGCUCCUUUUUUUUUUUUUUAAUGUAUCCUGAUACACUGGGUAAUAUUUUAAUUUCAUCAUGGAAAAGAAUGUUGGAUAAGGAGACAUUUUUCACUGUUAACUUUUAGCCUCAUGUAUUUUCAUAAUUUAUAUUUUCCACUUGCUGCUUUAUAUGACAUAUGUGACAUUUGAUUAUUUAAUACCAAAUGUGAUUUGCAUAAACUCAAGUCACACAACCCUCUUGCUGAAGAUAAAAUUGAGGUUAAAAGAUAAAUAUUUAUUUUCAUAUUUGUACAGUGAUCAGCUUCAGAGUGAAGGCUUUUGUGGUCUUUUAUUGUAUAUGUGUGUAAGAAAUUUCAUAUGUAUAUAUUAAGUAGGCCUCUGAGUAUAGAAUAAUUGUUUCGUGAUUUUGAUUUACAUGGUUUACAUUUUCAUAGUAUCAGCCAUAUUUCGUUUAUACUGUUUAUUUCUCUUCAAACCAUUAAUAAUUAUACCAUAAAGUAUAAUUUUUAUAGCAAUACAAAUGUCUAAGGAGCUACAAAUAUUUUCUGCAUUGUAAAUUCAAUAAAGCAUGCUUCCUUUGGUCUA